GGGGAGGUUGCUGUACCAUUUCUACAUGAGAAGGACAUUCCUGGUCAUUUUCUUGAUGAGGAGAGAUUCGCCAAGGAGGCUUCAAGCUCAGGAGCGCAGGCAGCAUCCGGAGCAAAGGAGAAGACUGAUCCUACAAAAGGAGGUUCUUCUGGAAGCGCCCCUGGGAACUCGACACAGGGAGCUGAAUUUGAAGCCAAAGUUGCAAAGCUUGUUGAAUUAGGGUUUGGAAGGGAUGCAGUAAUACAGGCUCUGAAGUUUUUCGAUGGUAACGAAGAACAAGCCGCCGGAUAUCUAUUUGGGGGUUGAUCAUCUCUUAUCUGUCAUAGAAUUAAGAUCUGUGGCUUAAUUUAUGUACUCACAACAUUUUUUGGAUUUUAGCAAUGACUGCUUACUAUUGCAUUCAAAUUUGUUUUUAAACCUUGCUUUUCCUGCUUGGAUUGCCAUGCUAUGAUGAAUUUGGCAGGGAAUGGAAUUCAAAGUGAUUUGUUAGGUUCUGUGGUUGGUUGAACGUUAUAUUAAACCUAAUGCAUGCUAAUAAAUUAGCUUA